rnacentral:rRNA from 1 species
AUGGGGCGGCCACAUCUCGGCCAGACGGCCACCAUGCGGCGUGGUGCGGCAUGGCACCUGGCGCCUGGCGAGGCUGAUGUUCCCCUCCUCCCGUCAAUGCAGACCAUGGGACGUUCCCUUCUCAUCACAGAAGCAAACGAACAAGUCAUCAGCAACAAGCACCAUAACAAAGAACAGAGUAUACAUGCAACAAUAUACAUUCAAACUAACUUUAAUCCAGGACACAAAACACUAUAUAAAGAGAGGCCAGACAUCAUCAUGCUCAUACAGGACAUGGAACCAACGGAAAGUAAAAUUGCUAAAACAGACGGUAUCACACAAACAUUUCAUCGAGCAGCAGGCGUACAUUCACAUUUCCUCAAAUACCUCACAGACACACACCUACGGGAGAAGCAGAACUUACGUGGAUAG